rnacentral:rRNA from 1 species
UACGUAGGGGGCAAGCGUUAUCCGGAUUUACUGGGUGUAAAGGGAGCGUAGACGGCGAAGCAAGUCUGGUGUGAAAACCCGGGGCUCAACCCCGGGCCUGCAUUGGAAACUGUUUUGCUUGAGUGCCGGAGAGGUAAGCGGAAUUCCUAGUGUAGCGGUGAAAUGCGUAGAUAUUAGGAGGAACACCAGUGGCGAAGGCGGCUUACUGGACGGUAACUGACGUUGAGGCUCGAAAGCGUGGGGAGCAAACAGG